UUAAUUUAUCUUUUUUUUUCUAUCUGGUAACAUAUCACAAUAAAAAAGUAAAAUUUAAAUAUGGAGGGUAGGUAUUCUAAAAGUGAAAGUGUGAUAUAGGUACUUUAGAAUUUAGGUGUCUUAGAGACUGGAUGUAUUUAAUUUACUUUGUAUUUUAAUAUCUUGUGUUAUCACUUUUUUUAAAACAAAAUAUUUAUGAACUCCAAAAGUAAUUUGUCUAUCAGUGAACCUCAAACUUCAGUCAAGAGUUUUCAAGAGGUAUGAUUCAUCAGUUUCUCAUUUUACACAUAACUUCUACAGCUCAACGCUUGCUCAAAAUAGAUGGAUUCAACUCAACUAUUGUAUACUAGCCACUCAUCCUGUCUUUACAUGGGUUGACAUGGGAUUAAAAGAAAACAAAGAUUCAGGAAUAUUGAGGAUUAUAUGUCAGGAGGAAAGGAAGGAAAGGAAACUAUAUGCAAGGAACAAAUACAGCAUUUAAUUCUUUUAACAUAUUAUGAGGAGAAUGGCCUGGAAAGUGGUGUAUGUGUCAUGAAGAUUUUCGAAUAGCACUUAACAACCUCAACGUACUGUCGAAACUUGGAAACGAUUGAACAUCUGCAACGCUCUGCAUAACGUUCUAAACAUUGAGGUCUUCAAACGAGCCCAUAUAAAGUGUACAUUAACACUUCUUGUGUUUCUAAUAAACGUCAUAUUCUAAUCUUAAA